UGAAGUCGUUCAGUAGUAUCCGACUCCUAGCGACCCCAUGGACUGCAGCCCACCAGGCCCCUCUGUCCAUGGGAUUUUCCAGGCAAGAGUACUGGAGUGGGGUGCCAUUGCCUUCUCCGAUAGCUAGGACUAGUCUCUUUCAAAAGAGAUGGGUUACACAGGCCCAGCUUGCUGGUAGUGACUUUUAAGCCAUGUUGUCUUCAGAAAUGAGGAGUGGCUGGGUGAAUUUCUCCAGCAAUUAGAGGAAUUCAGGGGCACAGAAGAACUGGCUCUUUUCAUACCACUUGACUGAGUAAUACAGAAAUGGAUUUUUCUUUUGGCCACAUGUAGGAUCUUAGUUGCCUGAACAGGGAUCCAACCCACGUCCCCCUGAGUGGAAGCACAGAGUCCUAACCACUGGACUUCCAGGGAAGACCCCAGAAAUGGAUUUAGCUAAAAGCAGAUUAUAGAAUUCUGUGGGACAAGAUGCUGAAAGCUCAGCUUCUCUGUACACCAGUGCUGAAUCAAAUCUUGGAGACAUAGUUUUGGGUGAACUAGAAAAGAGUAGCUUUAUUGCUUUGCCAGGCAGAGGGGAACACAGCAGGCUAAUGCCCUCAAAACCAAGUGUCCCAGCUUGGGGAAGACAGUGACAAGUUUUAUAGUAAUUGUUCACAUAGGGCGUGACCAACUCAUGGAUAUCCUUCUGAUGGGUUGGCAGUGAGAUAAGUAGGAGUCUAUAUGGUCAACCUUCAGGUUCAACUGGUCUGGGGUCUACAUUGCUUCUGGGCAGCAUACCGUCAUUAAUCGCUAACUUCUCCCACCUGGAGGGAGUUUCAGUCUCUGCAGAAUGGCUCAAAGAUAUUGUCUGUCACCUGUAUCUGUUGAUGGGAAAAUAGGACUUUGCCCCAAGGCUGCUCUGGACUGUUUCUCCCUGGUCUUGCAUCCCCUCCCUUCCCUAAUUAACAAUUGCUUGAAUCUGCCCCUUGAAACUCAGGAGAGGUCAUGGAGACUGAAUGAAGUUUGUCGCCUAUAAUCAAAGAAAUGGGAGCACAGAAAGGCCUUCUGCCCAGGAGCCCCACAGGGUCCUGCUCAGUAUCAGGCAUAGCACCACUUGCUAAAUUCUUGACACUGGUAAUAAACUGAAGCUUCCACAAACCUUGAAAUUUCUUCAGGAGAGAGAUUGUCUAAGCUGAUAGCUGAAGGGUGAUCAUAGGCACUGGCUUGUGACCCAGCAUCCCAUCCCUUUUCUGUAGGUGGAGUGAGUUGCUUUUAAAAAAAAAUAUUAAUACGUCUUCAGGCUCUCAAUUAUCUAAAAUAAGGAGGGGUGAGGAAAGCAAUAAAAGCCUCAGAGAACUUUUGUAAACUUUUAACUCCAACCUUCUCUUUCCCAUUGUCCCCAACCCCACACUCAACCUCAUUUUAGCAGAAACUGGCUUCCAAACUAUUCAUGUUCAUCAGUAUUCUACUUCCUUUUUUCUGCCCUGGUGGAUACCCAAGGCCUGUAGUGGCCUCUUACUGGAUUUGGUAUCAGCGCUUUUCUCUCUCACAACCCCUUUAAGCCAUCCAGAGGGAGAUUUUUCCUGCCUCGUUUAUUUAAAAAUAAAAUAAAUACAAAUAAAAGAGUUUAUAACUCUUUUUUGGAAAGUGUCACUAUUUACCUCAUGCAGUUAUUCUUUUACUCAUUCAAUAAAUAUAUAUUUAUAGGAAUGUCUUAUUUCCAAGGACUUCCCUGGCAGUCCAGGGGUUAAGACUCCUCACUUCCAAUGCACGGCGUGCAGGUUCAGUCCCUGGUUGGGGACUGAGAUCCCACAAGCAACAAGUGCAGCCAAAAAUGAGUCUUAUUUCCCCUACAGAAGUGAGGUUUCCUUGAGGGCAAAAUCUGUGUCUGUUUCAUCUUCUAUGCUUAAUAGCACUUUCUCUUAAUUUGGUACUAAAAAAAAGUUCUUGCUGAAUGAGGAUAGGAGAUGAAAAAGAGGGUAGAAUUCUCACACACGUAGACACACACACACAAGUAUUUAAAGAGCACCUUAAAUCUCUUACUUUGAAGGUCAUACCUAAUUAAUUGAUUGACUCUGGGAAAACAGUCCAGCAGGUUUGGUUGAAUUUAGUGUUGGUUGUGGGCUUGCUUUGGGCUUCCCAGGUGGCUCAGUGGUAAAGAAUCCACCUGCCAACACAGGAGACUUGGCUUUGAUCCCUGGGGAUCCAGGAGAUCUUCUUGACAAUGGCACCCUGCUUCAGUAUUUUUGCCUGGAGAAUUCCACAGACAGAAGAGCUUGAUGGGCUACAGUCCAUGGGGUCACAAAGAGUCUAACAUGACAGAGUGACUGAGCAUAUGGGCUUGCUCUGUACUCAAGAGUUGGGCUAAGCUUCCCAACCAGUGUGCCAGGAAUGAGGCCUGGGGUGCUGAGUGGGACCUUGAGACUUCCAAAUGCAUCCCUCCUUCUGCCAAGCUAGUCACAUCCAGCUCUGACCAGCUUCAUCCAGUUCCUCCAGUGUGCCUUACUAAUGCAGCGAUCUGCCUAUGGGUCAAGACCAGGGCAAACUGGAGCACCAGGUAAGGCUGAAGCAUUAGGUCAGUAACCAUCUCAGGAAUAGAAAGAAAUUCACUUUUUUUCUUUUGGGGACACAAACUCACUGGUUUUUAUACCUACCACUCAAACACCUGAAGAGACUUAGGUCCAAUGGGAGACUCAAGGAAUGAUGGAAUUAGCAAGGACCUGAAAAGCUCACCCUUGUUAGCCUUGUGCGCAUGGCAGGUAAUCCCUUGAGGGAAGAAGAUCAGUCUCACUGCUUUUGUGACAUGGGAUGAAGUUGUGUGGUGACAGGUUCUCAAAAGGUCGCAAUCACCUUCUCUCUUAAGCCCAAUAACGAUCAUGUUGUGAGACAUCUAUUAGAAGGAUUUGUGAAAGAAUAGAUUUAUGGUCACGGUGGGGGAGGGAAAGGGUGGGAUGACUUGAGAGAGUAGUCCUGCAACAUACAUUACCAUAUGUGAAGUGGACAGCCAGUGGGAAUUUGCUGUAUGAUCCAGGGAACUGAAAGCUGGUGACUUGGAGCGGGCGAUGGGGAGAGAGGUGGGAGGGUGCUUUAGGAGACGGGCUGGAGGGGCGUAUGUAUCCUAUGACUGAUUCAUGUUAAUGUAUGGCGGAUACCAUCCCAAUAUUGUACUAAUAGAAUAAUUAUUCUCCAGUUAAAAGUAAAAUUAAAAAAAAAGAAUUUGUGGAAAAAUUAGUGACUCUUAUGACUGAAAUAAAAUGCUAUGUAAUCUGUUAGAUCUAACGGGGAGGUGCAGGAAGUGGUCAUAGAGAAGUCAGUUUCUACAUGAAGCAGCACCUUAGUUUACAUUGCUUUAUUAAUUUUUCUCCCUAUUACUGCUUCCAAUUUUGAGGGGGUCUGAUGUAUUGAGUAAAAUAAAGUGGGCAUUCAUGGUUUUUUACUAGCAGUCAGGAGGCUUUAGUCUGGAAAAAUUCCUCCAAAAAGGGUGAAAUUAAGGUUUUGAAAUAACCAUUGAGGAAACAAAAGGUUUCUGAUUAAGUUUUUUAAAGUUGUGCGAACCUGUAGCGCUAGCUUAUGUUGCCAUCAAAGGCUUUGUUUGCAGUUACAGGAGCCUGUGUUUGGAAAAUUCCAGGGUAGUGACAGAAGACUUGGCUUGAUGCAUUUUUAAUCUUAUAUAAAACCUGAACCUGAGUGUAUGAUUUUUUUUUUAACUUGAGGCAUGAUUCAUAUACAAAAAUCUGUACAUGUUUAACGUACACAACUUGAAUUUGGCGUAGUCUGCAUCCAUGAAACCAUCACCACAAUCUGUGCCAUAGACUGGGUGUGUGAUUUAUAAGAAGGUUUCAAACAAAUAAAAACUUAUAUCAAGAAAGGUCUGGAAUCAGUUUUUCCCUUACACUGCUGCUGCUGCUGCUAAGUCGCUUCAGUCGUGUCCGACUCUGCGCAGAAUAUGAUAAAUCUGAAUAAGAAUUUUAAAUAUGCAGAUCGCCAGGAAAGAUGGCCUGGAAAAAUAGAAGCAGAAUAUUUUAUUUUGAUUUUAAAUUACAUAGGUAGCAAAUACUUGGUAGAAAAAGGCACUUCAAGAAAUACAGAAAUGUAAAAAGUGAAUAUGCUCAGUGCUUCAGUCAUGCUGACCCUAUGGGCUGUAGCCCGCCAGGCUCCUCUGCCCAUGGGAAUUCCCAGGCAAGAAUACUGGAGUGGGUUGCCAUUCCCUUCUCCAGGGACUCUUCCCAACUCAGGGAUCGAACCCAGGUCUACCACAUUGCAGGCAGAUUCUUUACCGUCUGAGCCAUCAGGAACUAGUUAUCUAUUUCUAAAUCAGUAUAAAUAGCCAACAUGUACAUUUUUACUGCUGUCUUAGCUUCAGAGGCUUCAGAAUUGUCGCCAGUUUUGAGAUCUUAACAGUUGACCUGUCUUCUUAAGUUAAAUCUGGCUUAUUAUGUCAGAAACGUAAAGUCUGACCAACCAGAUAGUUUAUCCCACAAAUGAGGAAUGAAUGAGAAAAUUGACCUGAUUUUUUAAAUUGUCUUUUUAAGCCUUUUUUUUUUGCCACAUCAUGCUACUUGCAGGAUCUUAGUUCCCUGACCAGGGAUUAAACUCAAGCCCUGCCGUGAAAGCACCAAGUCCUAACCACUGGGCUACCAAGCAGUUCCCCAUUUUUCCCCCUUUCUAAUGCAAAGAAGAGGAUUGUCCUUAAGAUUAGGUAAUUGGGACUCCCUAACAUCUGCUCUCGUCCUGAUAUAAUGGUAUUUAUGUGGUGAGGAGAGAGGAAUCUUGAGGCUUUGUUGGUGUGGUUCUGGAGUCUCUCUGGCACUAGUAAUUCACUGGAGUACUGUAGGGGAUUACAAAAUGUGUAGUAUGCAAAAUGCUUCAAUAUACACAUCUCUGAUUUUUAUACAGUAAUAAUCCCAGAUUCUGGGACAUGUUAAUAUCCUAAUUGUUCUCAUCUCAGCCAAGAUUUGUGGAUGUAAAGACAAUUUAGCAGGACUUCUCGAAAUCUUAGAACGGUAACAAGAAAAAGGUAUUUCAAUGUAGAGGGGCUUUGGGCUGUGUGAUAUUAGGGCAUCAUGUGGUUUUUAGCCUGAUUAUGAAAUAGAGAUAAGUGAAUUCAUUCAGGUUUUUUUUUUUUUAAACAUUAUUGAUGCUUCCUCCUGACCUGCCAAUUAGAUUUCAAAGUAUUAUUUGUUACUCCAUGACUUCAUCCUCCUCUGCCCAAGACAUUUUCUGAUGUUGAUUUGUUCCUAAUGAAUCUAGUUAAGAGGACUCCUUGUAGUUAAUCACUGACCAGAUAACUUAAGAGAAGCUGCCCAUCUGAUGAGCCACUGAGAAGGGUGAUAUUUUCCAGGUGACAGGUCCACAGAGGAGUUCUUUUGUUGGGUUUUUAGAAAGCGCUUGGUUGCAUUUCAGAGAAACUGGAGUUGGAACAGACUUCUGAAGUCAUGUAUCCCAACCUCCUACACAAGGCAAAAGUCCCUUCUAUGUUGCUUUUGUUGGAACCAGGCUCAACAAAUACAUUCAUCUGUAUCCUAAGGAACAGUUCUGGCUGAGGCAGAGUUUUGUGAUGGAUGAGAAGAAAGGGAGAGGGAAUGAGAUGGAGAACUUUGAAUACCUACCAUUUGUUCAGCACUGGGCAUACAGCCUUCACAGCAAUCUGUGAAGUGGGUUUCAUAGUCCUUUUUUACUUGUGAAGAAACUAAGGCACAGAGAGGUGAAGUGACCUGCCCCACGUGACCUCACCGGUAGGAGCUGGAGCUGAGAGUCAAGCCAAGAUUCCACCCAAGUUACCAAAACAAUUUACCAAGGAAGCUAAGCUGUUUCCUCAGGCAGGGGCUGGAAAACAAUGCAAUCGUUCUGUCAUUCAUUAACAGCAAGAUAAGACUGUUCCAGGCAGAGUCAGGUGCAGCCACAUCCGUCCCCAUGGCUCCCUCCUGUCCCCAGUACCUGUCUCCUGGUUUUGUGGCUGUCUUGUUCAUAAUGCUUCCUAGAUCCUCAUACAACUGUACUCACUACUUGAAGGCAUCCUAUAAAUAUCUGUUAGUUGAAUUAAUGAAUGAGUGUUAUCUGUGCAUGUUAAGAUAAUCAAACUGUUUGUUGCUAAGCAUCUUAUGUUUUAAUUGUAAAAAAAAAAAAUAAUAAUUUGAGUUGGUCUUUCCCUUUAUUCCAAAUUUCAGUUCAUGAAGGAAUUUUUGGAUAAAGUUAGCUUUGUUGCAUAAUGGCCUUUGCAAGGCUGACACUCAAAAUAUGUUAUGAAAUCCAAAAAAGUGUUUUAUGAGGAGAGAAAAAAAGGUUCUUAUAAAAUCACCAUAAACACCCCUGUGAGCUUUCUUCAGUUUUGGGACUAUGGGUCUCAAACUUUCUAUCAGGCUACUAAUGAAUCCACCUACAAUGCAGGAGACUCAAAUAACUGGAUUUGAUCUCUGGAUUAGGAAGAUCCCCUGGAGAACGAAACAUCAACCCACUCCAGUAUUCUUACUUUGAGAAUCCCAUGGACAGACGAGCCUGGCAAGCUACAGUCUAUGGGGUCACAAAGGAGCUGGACAUGACUAAAGUGACUAAACAACAGCAAUUGAUGUUAGUCAGGUUUAGCCUGCCAUCUUCCAUACGUUACCCCCAUUGCCCAUGAUUACACACACAUCACACAUAGACACACACACAAGUACCUCCCCAGAUAUCUUCCGAAGAGAUGGAAGGGGAUACUUUUGAAUGGAUACUAACUGUGGUUGUCACCAAUAAAUAAUGCAUUAAUAGUGUAAGACAGAUAGGUAGACAUCUACACGUUCUAAACCACGUUUCUAUUAUUGGAGACCACUCUAUACAAGCCAUCUAAAGACCCUUGAGAACUCCCAGUGAGUUCUGGACCACUCUUGAGGGAAGUUAAGCAGGAGUGGUUUAUGUGUGGAAAGGGUAACACCAGCAUUUCUGUUGCCUGGUAUUGGUCAGCAUCUAGCCUUGGAAAUGUGUGCUUAGUCACUCAGUUGUAUCCAAUUCUUUGUGACCCCAUGAACUGUAGCUCACCAGGCUCCUCUGUCCAAGGGGAUUCUCCAGGCAAGAAUACUGGAGUGGGUUGCCAUGCAUUCCUCCAGCAGAUCUUCCCAACCCAGGGAUCAAACCCGUGUCUCCUGCAUUGCAGGCGGAUUCUUUACCAUCUGAGCCCCCAGGGAAGCCCCAGGAAACAUAACUUAGAUGAGGCUUAUUCUGUUUCCACUUGUGGUUUCUUUCUCUUGUAUUUCUUUCAGUAGAGAAACUGGAUUUAAUAGGAGCUAGGAGAUUAGGAAUUAAAUCUUCCUCUGUUUCUAAUCCUACUCAUAUCUCAGGAGUAUUUUUCCCUAGCAGUCUCAGAGAACUCAGGAGGAUAUAUUGAGUACAGGUGGGCAUUGGAACAGAGGUGGGCAUGAUACGGUCCUUUCUUUUAGGAGAGUGGAGUCGCGGUCUCACUCUCCUCUUCUGUUCUCCCUUCUC